AGGAGAGGAAAGUUCCACCAUGGACCAGGGGACCAGAACAUCUGAGCCCACUGCCAACACCUCCCAUUCCCUCCCUUCCACAUCCUUGGCAACCCCAUCCACGACGAACCUUAGUAUAACAACAUCUGUUAAUCCUCCUUUUACUGGAACUUGCUCAACAGUGUCCAUUGAAGUUCAGGACGUGACUGGAGCAGAAAUACAGCUCAGCUGGACCAGUAGCAGCAAAGGCAGCCUCUACAACAUCUCUGUCAUGGAUGGAGAGGAAAUAAAUACAACAACUACAAAAGACACAAAAGCUGUGCUUAAAAACCUGCUUCCUGGCCAUGUGUACAACAUUUCUGUGGCAGUGUCAUCUUGUGCUAAUAAUCGUUCUUCAGUCACUGUCCGAACAGAUCCUGCUUCCUGUUUCGAAAUAACUGAGUUUUGUUCAGCACAAAGUACUGGCUGUUCUGACUUAAAAAGCAUUGCAUGCUCCAGCCAAGCAUUUGCCUGCAGCGUUCGGUUAAAAAACGAGAUGUUUAAUAAUACACUUUAUAACUCUGCUAGUGAAGACUACAAAACGAUGUCUGAAAGGAUCAAAACAGACGUUGUUGAAGGAAUUCAUGCUGAACUGCCACAGUGGAAUGACCCCUUCAAUAUUGUCAUGCUGGAUUUCAGACCUGGCAGCGUGGUUGCUGAUUUUCUCUUUCUGCUGCCAAAAGAAGCCACGGAUGUGGAGAAUAUACAGACCCACCUGAAAAAAGUAUUAAGGAACAAGUUUGGGCUGUUCCAAACUGAAGUGCAAGCUCUGUCUGUUCAGUCAUCAACUGACAACAGUUCCUCCUGGAGAGUAGCAGUGAUUGUCCUUGGAGUUUUACUUGGAGUUGCAUUAGUGCUGAUUGUCCUGGCAAUACUGUUUUACAUCUAUGUGAGGAGAAGAUCAGGUAAAUACUUGGUUGAACCUUCAGGACUCAUCGGAAUGUUUGUCUACAAGCACUUAUAAGAUAAACCAUCACUUAAAUAUUAUGGGCAAGGCAGAAAAUGACUAUAUUUAUCUUAUCAUUCAAUGUUAAUAGUGCAUAUUAACUUAGGAUAAUUCCACCCUUUCCUCUUCAAUGUCCAUUGCCAAAUUCAUGAGCUUCUAACAACAUUCAAUGAAUCUUCCUUUAAACAGGUAUGGAAUUUCCCACAUUGUACACGUGGUAGAGUGAGGAACAGAGAAACUUCUCUUCAGCCUAUCCCCUAUAGGUACUGCAAUGACUCCUAACAGUGGCAAGCUAGAGAGACAGGAUCCAAACUACUCAAUACUGUAUUUAGGUGACACUGAAAGCAGGGUGACUGAGCCUGGUAGCUGUGGCAGAUCACUUGAAUGCUCAGCUGAGCCCAGAGUCACCCUGUUGGGUUUUGUGCACUUGGCCAAGGGUGAUUCACCUCCCCUGAGACUUUUAUCACAAUAUAAAGACUUUUAUCACAAUAUAAAGACUUUUAUCACAAUAUAAAGAUGCCUUUUUCUCUCCUGUGACUGCAGAAUGAGCCCAGGGUAAUUAGCGUCCUAGCAUUGCAGCUUGAUCAGGAGUUUGGAGAAAAAUGGCAUACAUCUCAGUUAUGUGGGCUUGCUAUAGAAAUCUGGUGGACCAGAAACUUGAUUUGGACACUUCUCAGUUCAAAGUUUCUUCAAUUGCUGGGCUGUGAAGGAAUAACUGCUCAUAUGUGUGAAAUGUAUAGCAUGCUAAAUACAGGUGUGGUUCCACAGCAUAGUCUCAACAUGUUAGUAGAUGGGGAAGGCAAACAUUAGGUUAAUUUGAGCUAAAAGUAUUUUACUCACCUUUUUUUGCCUGUCAAAAAUGGUUGGCUGAGCAAAGAUGUGUCAUAAAGUGCAAUAUUGUCCUGCUCUUGAUAAUCCUAAAGUAGAAUCCAAUAGAAGAAACUCCUGUGGCAUUGGAGCAGACCUUGCUUUAGAUUUCUUCUAAUUGCUUUAGAGCAAUUAGAAGAAAUGAUCUUUACCUUUUCCCACCACUCUUCACUGCAGUCCUGGAGAAGUUACAGUCUGUUUCUACUGUGGUGCAGUUUUUCCUGCUUGGACUGUGGUGAACAGAUGAUAAUGGGGCAGUUUACUGCUGUUCAUAUUUCCAGCAGGAUUUAUGUGUUCCAUUUCGAACCAGCUCUCCCUGUAGCUGUACAUUUUGUCAGUCUGCCUACACUCGGAAUUCCUGUUGAGGCACUGAGUAUCCCGUGAUGUUGAGGCCCUGGCUCACACCCCCUGAACACCCCUGUUUUUUGGGGAUUAGGUUAUGGUUAUUUGGCACAGCUUAGAGUGAAUUGGUGCCAGGACUGCAGCACAAGGUGGGAGCUCAUCACAAACAGCUCUGCUCCAUAUGCAGCCAGCAUUCAUUCUUUUCAUCUCUCCAUCCUUGUGCUCCAACAGCUCCUGGCAGAGCCCUGCCGAGGACCCUGGCUGGAAUAUUAUUUUUAGUAGCAGGGACCUAUGAAACAGGGUCUUGCAUGCUCUCCCUUUCACAUGGAGGUCUUGCACACCCUCCAUGCAGUGUCAACUCGUCUAUCCUGAUUAGGUCUGGGGUGUGGAGUCAUAGACACCUCACUGAUGGAAAGAGAGUGAUUAAUAUUUGUUAAACUUUUAUUAUGUGGCUUUUAAAUAUAGCUAUCUCUGGGUGUUCUACUCACUGAACAGUCACUCAACAAUGUAUUCUGUCAGUAAAUACAAGUUCUCUAGGGAGCUCUGUUGAAAAUACAAAUGAGUGCUCUUGCUUAUGUUAAUACUCUUUUAUUUCUUUUUUUGAGGGAUCUACUUUAAAUAGCAAAUCCUCAUUGUCAGUAAACCUUUCUGAUGUUCUUGUAAAUAGUGUUAAAUAGAGACCAUGUACAGCAGGCUUCAACAGUCCUGGGAUUGUUCAUACAAAAUGUAUUUAAUGUCUUUGGGGGGAAAAAAAGUGGUAUUUUAAACAAUUUUCUCAAAGAUGCUAUACAAAUAAAACCUUUAUUUUUACAAUUGUG
ensembl:lncRNA uncharacterized LOC107202296